CGAUUCCCUACGGGGCGCAGCAGGCGCGAAAACUUUACAAUGCGGGAAACCGUGAUAAGGGGACACCGAGUGCCAGCAUCAUAUGCUGGCUGUCCGGGUGUGUAAAAUACACCUGUUAGCAAGGGCCGGGCAAGACCGGUGCCAGCCGCCGCGGUAACACCGGCGGCCCGAGUGGUGAUCGUGAUUAUUGGGUCUAAAGGGUCCGUAGCCGGUUUGGUCAGUCCUCCGGGAAAUCUGAUGGCUCAACCAUUAGGCUUUCGGGGGAUACUGCCAGGCUUGGAACCGGGAGAGGUAAGAGGUACUACAGGGGUAGGAGUGAAAUCUUGUAAUCCCUGUGGGACCACCUGUGGCGAAGGCGUCUUACCAGAACGGGUUCGACGGUGAGGGACGAAAGCUGGGGGCACGAACCGGAUUAGAUACCCGGGUAGUCCCAGCCGUAAACGAUGCUCGCUAGGUGUCAGGCAUGGCGCGACCGUGUCUGGUGCCGCAGGGAAGCCGUGAAGCGAGCCACCUGGGAAGUACGGCCGCAAGGCUGAAACUUAAAGGAAUUGGCGGGGGAGCACAACAACGGGUGGAGCCUGCGGUUUAAUUGGACUCAACGCCGGACAACUCACCGGGGACGACAGCAAAAUGUAGGCCAGGCUGAAGACCUUGCCUGAAUCGCUGAGA
rnacentral:rRNA from 1 species